rnacentral:rRNA from 1 species
UACGUAGGGGAGCAAGCGUUGUUCGGAAUGACUGGGCGUAAAGGGUGCGUAGGCGGUUGUACAAGUUAGAAGUGGAAAUACCCCAGGGCUUAACUCGGGUGCUGCUUCUAAAACUGUAUGACUUGGAGUGCAGUAGAGGUUAGUGGAAUUCCUAGUGUAGCGGUGAAAUGCGUAGAUAAUUAGGAGGAACACCAGUGGGCGAAGGCGGCUUACUGGACGGUAACUGACGCGUGGAGGCUCGAAAGCGUGGGGAGCAAACAGG